UUAGAGAGAAACUCACCACUGAGGCCACUUGCUGGGCUCCAUCCUCACUACCUCCUGAAAGUCUGAGAUAAGAGCCCUUGCAGGACACCUCCUGAUACAGGGGUGUGAGGUAUCAGUGAGGUGGAGCCCUGUCUAGGGAUAAAGCUUGGGGCACAAGAAGCGAGGUACCUCCCCUGGCUAAUGCUCACCUCCUUUCUAGGGCUUUGAGACAAAUAAAUGGCUUGCACCUGAGUUCGAUGGGAUAAGUCCUAGCCCUUAUGUGCACUAUUCACAGGUAAUUCAAACUAUUCUCCCACUGA
rnacentral:RNase_P_RNA from 2 species